GACGAACGCUGGCGGCGUGCCUAAUACAUGCAAGUAGAACGCUGAAGGAGGAGCUUGCUCUUCUGGAUGAGUUGCGAACGGGUGAGUAACGCGUAGGUAACCUGCCUGGUAGCGGGGGAUAACUAUUGGAAACGAUAGCUAAUACCGCAUAACAGUAGAUGUUGCAUGACAUUUGCUUAAAAGGUGCAAUUGCACCACUACCAGAUGGACCUGCGUUGUAUUAGCUAGUUGGUGGGGUAACGGCUCACCAAGGCGACGAUACAUAGCCGACCUGAGAGGGGGAUCGGCCACACUGGGACUGGGACACGGCCCAGACUCAUACGGGAGGCAGCAGUAGGGAAUCUUCGGCCAUGGACGGAAGUCUGACCGAGCAACGCCGCGUGAGUGAAGAAGGUUUUCGGAUCGUAAAGCUCUGUUGUAAGAGAAGAACGAGUGUGAGAGUGGAAAGUUCACACUGUGACGGUAUCUUAUCAGAAAGGGACGGCUAACUACGUG
rnacentral:rRNA from 1 species